rnacentral:misc_RNA from 1 species
CGCACAUUGCGCCCAUUAGUAUUCUAGUGGGCAUGCCUGUUCGAGCGUCAUUUCAACCCUUAAGCCUAGCUUAGUGUUGGGAAUCUACAGUCCGGGUGAGCCUACCCUGUAGCGUCUUACCCUGUAGUUCUUAAAAACCAACGGCGGAACUGUGGUAUCCUCUGAGCGUAGUAAUAUUAUUUCGCUUUUGUCAGGUGCCGCAGCUCUUGCCGCUAAACCCCUAUUUUUAAUGGUUGACCUCGGAUCAGGUAGGAAUACCCGCUGAACUUAA